UACAGAGGUCUCAAGCGUUGUUCGGAUUCAUUGGGCGUAACGGGUGUGUAGGUGGCGCCGUAAGUCGGGUGUGAAAUCUCGGGGGUUAACUCCGAAACUGCAUUCGAUACUGCGGUGCUUGAGGACUGGAGAGGAGACUGGAAUUCAUGGUGUAGCAGUGAAAUGCGUAGAGAUCAUGAGGAAGACCAGUGGCGAAGGCGGGUCUCUGGACAGUUCCUGACACUGAGACACGAAGGCCAGGGGAGCAAACGGG
rnacentral:rRNA from 1 species